GACGAACGCUGGCGGCGUGCUUAACACAUGCAAGUCGAACGGAAAGGCCCUGCUUUUGUGGGGUGCUCGAGUGGCGAACGGGUGAGUAACACGUGAGUAACCUGCCCUUGACUUUGGGAUAACUUCAGGAAACUGGGGCUAAUACCGGAUAGGAGCUCCUGCUGCAUGGUGGGGGUUGGAAAGUUUCGGCGGUUGGGGAUGGACUCGCGGCUUAUCAGCUUGUUGGUGGGGUAGUGGCUUACCAAGGCUUUGACGGGUAGCCGGCCUGAGAGGGUGACCGGCAACAUGGGAAUGAGAUUACGGCCCGACUCCUACGGGAGGGAGGAGGGGGGGAUAAUGGACCAAGGGCGGAAGGCCGAAGGAGGCACGCCGGGGGGGGGAAGACGGCCCUUCGGUUGUAAACCGCUUUCGCCUGUGACGAAGCGUGAGUGACGGUAAUGGGUAAAGAAGCACCGGCUAACUACGUG
rnacentral:rRNA from 1 species